GGGAAUCGCGCGGCCAUUGGGCAGCUGCGGGCGCGCGCAGUUCAACUUCCCGGGUUCCGAUAGGGGGCGAGGGAAGCGCGGUGGGGGGGGGAGAAGAACGUGGCGCGGGAGCCCUACUCUGUGAUUGGCUCUUGGGGAGGGGCGGUCUUCGCCACGCUUCCUUCCUCCUCCCCGCCGAUUGGGAGCACGACGACGGCGCUUUUUGAUUUCGCUAGUCGCUAGGAAAUACAUAAGAGCAUGCGCAGGAGGCGCGCUGGCGCGUGGGAGGGGGUGCUUGGUCACUGGCCUGCCCGACCUGACUCGUCGUUAUUUAGUAGCAUCUCCAAGAGAGGGCUGAGAGAGACUCCUGCCUGCCACUGUGGAGAAGCCGCUGCCAGUCUGGGUAGACAACCCUGAGCGAGAUGGACCAAUGGCCUGGCUCAGUAGAAGGCAGCUUCCUGUGUUCCCUCGCCAACAGCACUAAAGCACAGAACCAUAAAGUGCAUGGAAUAUUGAGUUGCUGUGACAAUAAACCUGUUUUACUGAUA